rnacentral:rRNA from 1 species
CAGGAUGAACGCUGGCGGCGUGCCUAACACAUGCAAGUCGAGCGAUGAAACCGCCCUCGGGCGGACAUGAAGCGGCGAACGGGUGAGUAACACGUGACCGACCUGCCCCCCGCCCAGGGACAGCCCCCCGAAAGGGGGAUUAAUACCUGGUACUCCGGCAAGGACGCAUGUCCUGGCCGGGAAAGCCUUGGCGGCGGGGGAUGGGGUCGCGGCCCAUCAGGUAGACGGCGGGGCAGAGGCCCACCGUGCCGACGACGGGUAGCCGGGUUGAGAGACCGACCGGCCACAUUGGGACUGAGAUACGGCCCAGACUCCUACGGGAGGCAGCAGUGGGGAAUUUUGCGCAAUGGGGGCAACCCUGACGCAGCAACGCCGCGUGCGGGACGAAGGCGUCCGCGUCGUAAACCGCUUUCAGCGGGGAACACUUCAACGAGGGUACCCGCAGAAGAAGCCCCGGCUAAAUACGUGCCAGCAGCCGCGGUAAUACGUAUGGGGCGAGCGUUAUCCGGAUUCAUUGGGCGUAAAGCGCGCGUAGGCGGAGCGCUAAGCGGGACCUCUAACCCGAGGGCUCAACCCCCGGCCGGGUCCCGAACUGGCGCUCUCGAGUGCGGUAGGGGAGAGCGGAAUUCCCGGUGUAGCGGUGGAAUGCGCAGAUAUCGGGAGGAACACCGACGGCGAAGGCAGCUCUCUGGGCCGAAACUGACGCUGAGGCGCGAAAGCUGGGGGAGCGAACAGGAUUAGAUACCCUGGUAGUCCCAGCCGUAAACGAUGGGCGCUAGGUGUGGGGGAGCAGAUCCUCCGCGCCGCAGCCAACGCGUUAAGCGCCCCGCCUGGGGA